rnacentral:tRNA from 1 species
UGGGUGAUAGUUGAUUGGUCAGGUUGUCUAACGAACUCGGACCGACCAAAAGGCAAAGCAGCCUGACUCUGGAUCAGGAGAUCGAGGGUUCAAAUCCUUCCCGCCCAGCCA